rnacentral:tRNA from 1 species
UGGCUCAGAGGUUUAAGCGUCUGCCUGCAAUGCAGGAGACCUGGGUUCGAUCCCUG